rnacentral:rRNA from 1 species
AUUGAACGCUGGCGGCAUGCUUUACACAUGCAAGUCGAACGGUAACAGGCCUUCGGGUGCUGACGAGUGGCGAACGGGUGAGUAAUGCAUCGGAACGUACCCAGAGGUGGGGGAUAACGCAGCGAAAGCUGUGCUAAUACUGCAUGUGAUCUGAGGAUGAAAGCGGGGGACCGAGCAGCAAUGUUUGGCCUCGCGCCUUUGGAGCGGCCGAUGUCGGAUUAGCUAGUUGGUGGGGUAAAGGCCUACCAAGGCGACGAUCCGUAGCUGGUCUGAGAGGACGACCAGCCACACUGGGACUGAGACACGGCCCAGACUCCUACGGGAGGCAGCAGUGGGGAAUUUUGGACAAUGGGCGCAAGCCUGAUCCAGCAAUGCCGCGUGCGGGAAGAAGGCCUUCGGGUUGUAAACCGCUUUUGGCAGGAACGAAACGGUGUCCGCUAAUACCGGGCGCUAAUGACGGUACCUGAAGAAUAAGCACCGGCUAACUACGUG